rnacentral:rRNA from 1 species
GCGUGCCAUUAGGUAGUUGGUGAGGUAACGGCUCACCAAGCCGACGAUGGCUACGGGGUCUUAAAGGAUGGUCCCGCACACUGGUACUGAGACACGGACCAGACUCCUACGGGAGGCAGCAGUGAGGAAUAUUGGUCAAUGGGGGCAACCCUGAACCAGCCAUGCCGCGUGAAGGAAGACGGCCCUAUGGGUUGUAAACUUCUUUUGUACGGGAAUAACCACUCCUACGUGUAGGGGCUUGAAGGUACUGUACGAAUAAGCAUCGGCUAACUCCGUGCCAGCAGCCGCGGUAAUACGGAGGAUGCAGGCGUUAUCCGGAUUUAUUAGGUUUAAAGGGUGCGUAGGCGGCCCGGUAAGUCAGUGGUGAAAGUUUGCGGCUUAACCGUGAAAUUGCCAUUGAUACUGUCGGGCUAGAAUAUGGUGGAGGUAGGCGGAAUGUGUAGUGUAGCGGUGAAAUGCUUAGAUAUUACACAGAACACCGAUUGCGAAGGCAGCUUACUAUACCAUUAUUGACGCUGAGGCACGAAAGCGUGGGGAGCGAACAGGAUUAGAUACCCUGGUAGUCCACGCUGUAAACUAUGAUAACUGGUUGUGUGCGAUAUACAGUGCGCGACUGAGGGAAACCAUUAA